GGCGCUUUGGGAGCGGCCUGCGUACGAUUAGAUUGUUGGUGAGGUAACGGCUCACCAAGUCGACGAUCGUUAGCUGGUCUGAGAGGAUGAUCAGCCAGACUGGGACUGAGAACGGCCCAGACUCCUACGGGAGGCAGCAGUAGGGAAUUUUCCACAAUGGACGAAAGUCUGAUGGAGCAACGCCGCGUGCAGGAUGAAUGCCUUCGGGUUGUAAGCUGCUUUUAUAUGUGACGAAUAUGACGGUAGCAUAUGAAUAAGGAUCGGCUAACUCCGUGCCAGCAGCCGCGGUCAUACGGAGGAUCCAAGCGUUAUCCGGAAUUACUGGGCGUAAAGAGUUGCGUAGGUGGCAUAGUAAGUCUGUAGUGAAAGCGUGGGGCUCAACCUCAUAUACAUUAUGGAAACUGCUAAGCUAGAGGGCGAGAGAGGUAACUAGAAUUCCUUGUGUAGGAGUGAAAUCCGUAGAUAUAAGGAGGAAUACCGACGGCGUAGGCAGGUUACUGGCUCGUCCCUGACACUAAGGCACGAAAGCGUGGGGAGCAAACGGGAUUAGAUACCCCGGUAGUCCACGCCGUAAACGAUGGAUGCUAGCUGUGAGAAGUAUCGACCCUUCUCGUAGGGAAGCUAACGCGUUAAGC
rnacentral:rRNA from 1 species